UAGGGAAUAUUAGAAAUGGACGAAAGUCUGAUCUAGCAACACCGCGUGUGCGAAGAAGGCCUUCGGGUUGUAAAGCACUUUUUGGAAGGAUUAGGAAGGAAUGUACUUCCAGAAUAAGUCUCGGCUAACUACGUGCCAGCAGCCGCGGUAACACGUAGGAGGCAAACGUUAUCCGGAUUUACUGGGCGUAAAGCGCGUGUAGGUGGUUUGGUAAGUAGAGCGUGAAAGCUCCUGGCUCAACUGGGAGAGGUCGUUCUAAACUGCCGGACUAGAGGAUGGUAGAGGGAGGUGGAAUUCCGGGUGUAGCGGUGGAAUGCGCAGAUAUCCGGAGGAACACCAGUGGCGAAAGCGGCCUCCUGGACCACUCCUGACACUCAGACGCGAAAGCUAGGGUAGCAAACG
rnacentral:rRNA from 1 species